UACGUAGGGCGCAAGCGUUAUCCGGAAUUAUUGGGCGUAAAGAGCUCGUAGGCGGUUUGUCGCGUCUGCCGUGAAAACCCGAGGCUCAACCUCGGGCCUGCAGUGGGUACGGGCAGACUAGAGUGCGGUAGGGGAGAUUGGAAUUCCUGGUGUAGCGGUGGAAUGCGCAGAUAUCAGGAGGAACACCGAUGGCGAAGGCAGAUCUCUGGGCCGUAACUGACGCUGAGGAGCGAAAGCAUGGGGAGCGAACAGG
rnacentral:rRNA from 1 species